UACGUAGGGUGCGAGCGUUUGUCCGGAAUUAUUGGGCGUAAAGGGCUCGUAGGCGGUUUGUCGCGUCGGGAGUGAAAUCCACUGGCUUAACUGGUGGCUUGCUUUCGAUACGGGCAGACUGGAGGUAUGCAGGGGAGAACGGAAUUCCUGGUGUAGCGGUGAAAUGCGCAGAUAUCAGGAGGAACACCGGUGGCGAAGGCGGUUCUCUGGGCAUGUCCUGACGCUGAGGAGCGAAAAGUGUGGGGAGCGAACAGG
rnacentral:rRNA from 1 species